rnacentral:rRNA from 1 species
UACGUAGGGUGCGAGCGUUGUCCGGAAUUAUUGGGCGUAAAGAGCUCGUAGGCGGUGUGUCGCGUCGGCCGUGAAAACCUGGGGCUUAACUCUGGGCGUGCGGUCGAUACGGGCAUCACUAGAGUUCGGCAGGGGAGACUGGAAUUCCUGGUGUAGCGGUGAAAUGCGCAGAUAUCAGGAGGAACACCGGUGGCGAAGGCGGGUCUCUGGGGCUUAUCUGACGCUGAGGAACGAAAGCCAGGGGAGCGAACGGG